rnacentral:rRNA from 1 species
GACGAACGCUGGCGGCGUGCCUAAUACAUGCAAGUUGAGCGCUGAAGGUUGGUACUUGUACCAACUGGAUGAGCAGCGAACGGGUGAGUAACGCGUGGGGAAUCUGCCUUUGAGCGGGGGACAACAUUUGGAAACGAAUGCUAAUACCGCAUAAAAACUUUAAACACAAGUUUUAAGUUUGAAAGAUGCAAUUGCAUCACUCAAAGAUGAUCCCGCGUUGUAUUAGCUAGUUGGUGAGGUAAAGGCUCACCAAGGCGAUGAUACAUAGCCGACCUGAGAGGGUGAUCGGCCACAUUGGGACUGUGACACGGCCCAAACUCCUACGGGAGGCAGCAGUAGGGAAUCUUCGGCAAUGGACGAAAGUCUGACCGAGCUACGCCGCGUGAGUGAAGAAGGUUUUCGGAUCGUAAAACUCUGUUGGUAGAGAAGAACGUUGGUGAGAGUGGAAAGCUCAGCAAGUGACGGUAACUACCCAGAAAGGGACGGCUAACUACGUG